rnacentral:rRNA from 1 species
UGGGGAAUUUUGGACAAUGGGCGCAAGCCUGAUCCAGCCAUGCCGCGUGCGGGAAGAAGGCCUUCGGGUUGUAAACCGCUUUUGUCAGGGAAGAAAUCUUCUGAGUUAAUACCUCGGGAGGAUGACGGUACCUGAAGAAUAAGCACCGGCUAACUACGUGCCAGCAGCCGCGGUAAUACGUAGGGUGCAAGCGUUAAUCGGAAUUACUGGGCGUAAAGCGUGCGCAGGCGGUUUUGUAAGACAGAGGUGAAAUCCCCGGGCUCAACCUGGGAACUGCCUUUGUGACUGCAAGGCUUGAGUGCGGCAGAGGGGGAUGGAAUUCCGCGUGUAGCAGUGAAAUGCGUAGAUAUGCGGAGGAACACCGAUGGCGAAGGCAAUCCCCUGGGCCUGCACUGACGCUCAUGCACGAAAGCGUGGGGAGCAAAACAGGAUUAGAUAGCCCCUGGUAGUCCACGCCCUAAAACGAUGUCAACUGGUUGUUGGGAAGGUUCCUUCUCAGUAACGUAGCUAACGCGUGAAGUUGACCGCCUGGGGAGUACGGCCGCAAGGUUGAAACUUAAAUGAAUUGACGGGGU